rnacentral:misc_RNA from 1 species
CCACCAUUGAGAGCUUCAUUCUUAAUAUAAUUCAAUAAAAAAAAAAAGUCAAAUUAAAAAAAGGCUUAAUAAAUUUGAAUUAUACAAUUGAAAGUAGUCUAUAUAUAUCCAUUUUUUCUUUCUUGUUAAAGUGUAUACUAUUUAUGAUAAGUUAUUUUUAAUUUUAAGAAAGUGGGCUUAAAUACUAACUUUCAAAUUACCACAAGAGAGGAAAUGGCAUAGAGGUUGAACCUUUGACCGCCAUAUAAUCAAUGGGGUUGGCCCUUUUGUGUCAAAUAAUUGACGCUUUUAAUUAGUUUUUCCGUGUGAUAAGACGUUUCUUCAGUAGAUUUUGUCGCUUAGCACAUAGGGCCAAUGUGAAAAGGACACUUCUUUUCGUAAUUUGCAGCAAUUAAGUGAACGUAGAAUAGAAGUUCUAAAAAAUAAAUAAAAAAAAAGAGAGCAUGAUUUGAAAUAGAGGGGGGGAAAAAAAGAGACUUGUAAGAAGCAAUUAAUGUUUGAUUUGUGGAUAGAGAAGAGGUUGUGGAGUAGUCUUAUUCUUAUUAAUCACACAAACACUAACAGCCACUAGAUUCAGGCCUUAUAGCUGUUCUUAGUUAAUCAUUUGCACCAAAUUAAAUGAAAACAAACUCGCUACCAAUAGGGUGUGGAUCCAAAAUGUAAUUAAUUCAUUGGCCCUUCCAAACCUCCAAAAUCAACAGAGACAUGAAUCGAUCUGGUCACAAACAUAUGGUAGCUAGCUAAUGGUUUAAUUUGGUUGGUAUUUCUUACACUUGGAAAUGUAUGGUUUGAUGUCAAGCAUUUCAAAAAAAGUAUUAAUUAAAUGCAUUUAAGAUUUGCCUUUAAUUUCAACAGCUAAGUAGAGAGAGAGAGAGAGAG